rnacentral:rRNA from 1 species
AGCCAGACUCCUACGGGAGGCAGCAGUGGGGGAUAUUGCACAAUGGGGGAAACCCUGAUGCAGCGACGCCGCGUGGGUGAAGAAGCGCCUCGGCGCGUAAAGCCCUGUCAGCAGGGAAGAAAAUGACGGUACCUGAAGAAGAAGCCCCGGCUAACUACGUGCCAGCAGCCGCGGUAAUACGUAGGGGGCGAGCGUUAUCCGGAUUUACUGGGUGUAAAGGGAGCGUAGACGGUUAAUCAAGUCUGAAGUGAAAGCCCGCGGCUCAACUGCGGAACGGCUUUGGAAACUGAGUAACUGGAGUGCUGGAGGGGCAGGCGGAAUUCCUGGUGUAGCGGUGAAAUGCGUAGAUAUCAGGAGGAACACCGGUGGCGAAGGCGGCCUGCUGGACUGCAACUGACGUUGAGGCCCGAAAGCGUGGGGAGCAAACAGGAUUAGAUACCCGUGUAAC